rnacentral:rRNA from 1 species
GACGAACGCUGGCGGCGUGCUUAACACAUGCAAGUCGAACGGAAAGGCCUCUUUCGGGGGGUACUCGAGUGGCGAACGGGUGAGUAACACGUGAGUAACCUGCCCUUGACUUUGGGAUAACUUCAGGUAACUGGGGCUAAUACCGGAUAGGAGCUCCUGCUGCAUGGUGGGGGUUGGAAAGUUUCGGCGGUUGGGGAUGGACUCGCGGCUUAUCAGCUUGUUGGUGGGGUAGUGGCUUACCAAGGCUUUGACGGGUAGCCGGCCUGAGAGGGUGACCGGCCACAUUGGGACUGAGAUACGGCCCAGACUCCUACGGGAGGCAGCAGUGGGGAAUAUUGCACAAUGGGUGGAAGCCUGAUGCAGCAACGCCGUGUGCGGGGUGACGGCCUUCGGGUUGUAAACCGCUUUCGCUCAUGACGAAGCUUUGUGUGACGGUAGUGGGUAAAGAAGCACCGGCUAACUACGUG